rnacentral:rRNA from 1 species
CCUACGGGAGGCAGCAGUAGGGAAUAUUGCUCAAUGGGGGAAACCCUGAACCAGCGACGCCGCGUGGAGGAUGAAGGUUUUCGGAUUGUAAACUCCUUUUGUUAGGGAAGAUAAUGACGGUAUCUAACGAAUAAGCACCGGCUAACUCCGUGCCAGCAGCCGCGGUAAUACGUAGGGUACAAGCGUUACCCGGAUUCACUGGGCGUAAAGGGCGCGUAGACGGGGCAGCAAGUCUGAUGUGAAAGCCUAGGGCUUAACCCUAGAACUGCAUUGGAAACUGUUGAUCUAGAGUAUAGGAGAGGUAGGUGGAAUUCUUGGUGUAGGGGUAAAAUGCGUAGAUAUCAGGAGGAAUACUCAUUGCGAAGGCGGCCUGCUAGAACAUAACUGACGUUGAGGCGCGAAAGCGUGGGGAGCAAACAGGAUUAGAUACCCCUGUAGUC